UACGGAGGGUGCGAGCGUUGUCCGGAAUCACUGGGCGUAAAGGGCGCGUAGGCGGCGCGGAAAGUCGUCGGUGAAAGCUCGGGGCUCAACCCUGAGUCUGCCGGUGAUACUCCCGCGCUCGAGCUCACUAGAGGCAGAUGGAAUUCCGGGUGUAGCGGUGGAAUGCGUAGAGAUCCGGAAGAACACCGGUGGCGAAGGCGGCCUGCUGGGCAGUAGCUGACACUGAGGCGCGACAGCGUGGGGAGCAAACAGG
rnacentral:rRNA from 1 species